ensembl:rRNA 5S_rRNA 5S ribosomal RNA
AUCGGCAGCUAGCUCUCUGCAACUCUCACGUGGUCACCCACUGAAGCCAAGCAGGGCUGUGCCCGGUCAGUACCUGGAUGGGAGACCACAUAGGAAAAGCUGGAUUGCUGCCGGAA